rnacentral:rRNA from 1 species
UAUGUGAUCGUCUCUCGCAUAUCAAUAAGCGGAGGAAAAGAAACUAACAAGGAUUCCCCUAGUAACGGCGAGUGAAGCGGGAAGAGCUCAAAUUUGAAAUCUUCAAGGUUUUACCUUGACGAAUUGUAGUUUAAAGAAGUGUUUUCUGUUGAGGUUUUGGUAAAAGUUCUUUGGAAUAGGACAUCAUAGAGGGUGAGAAUCCCGUAUUUGACCUUUACUUUCAACUUUGUGAUACACUUUCAAAGAGUCGGAUUGUUUGGGAAUGCAGUCCAAAAUGGGUGGUAAAUUUCAUCUAAAGCUAAAUAUUGGCGAUGAGACCGAUAGCGAACAAGUACCGUGAGGGAAAGAUGAAAAGAACUUUGAAAAGAGAGUUAAACAGUACGUGAAAUUGUCAAAAGGGAAGCGUUUGACACCAGUGUUGUUUUUCUGAAAAUCAAUUAAAGAACUGUUUAUGCUAAGCUGUUUAGACUUUAUCAGCUAUCUGCUUAGUUUUGAGCUUUUCUUUAAUGCACUUUUCAGUUAACAAGUCAACAUCAAUUUCUUUUGCUGUAAAAAAGCUUGAGGAAGGUGGCUUGAGAUUCGUCUUAAGUGUUUAUAGCCUCUUGCCUAUGCAGUCGGAGAGAUUGAGGUCUGCAGCGUAGAUCCUUCGGGGCUAAAUGCAUUUGUGCUAAGUUAUAGCAUUUUAUAGACAACUUGUCGACUAUGAUUUGUCUUGUAGCUUACUCGCUUAUGUUAUUUUACCUACGCUUAGGAUGUUGAAGUCAUCGUAUCGCGC